CACGUAGGGUGCAAGCGUUGUCCGGAAUUAUUGGGCGUAAAGGGCUCGUAGGCGGUCCGUCACGUCGGGAGUGAAAACUCGGGGCUCAACCCCGAGCCUGCUUUCGAUACGGGCGGACUAGAGGUAGGUAGGGGAGAACGGAAUUCCUGGUGUAGCGGUGGAAUGCGCAGAUAUCAGGAGGAACACCGGUGGCGAAGGCGGGUCUCUGGACAGUUCCUGACGCUGAGGCACGAAGGUCAGGGGAGCAAACGGG
rnacentral:rRNA from 1 species